rnacentral:tRNA from 1 species
AGGAACUUAGGUUUAAUCAGACCAAGGGCCUUCAAAGCCCUAAGCGGAAGUGAAAAUCUCCCAGUUUCUG